AUUGAACGCUGGCGGCAGGCCUAACACAUGCAAGUCGAACGGUAACAGGAAGCAGCUUGCUGCUUUGCUGACGAGUGGCGGACGGGUGAGUAAUGUCUGGGAAACUGCCCGAUGGAGGGGGAUAACUACUGGAAACGGUAGCUAAUACCGCAUAACGUCGCAAGACCAAAGAGGGGGACCUUAGGGCCUCUUGCCAUCGGAUGUGCCCAGAUGGGAUUAGCUAGUAGGUGGGGUAACGGCUCACCUAGGCGACGAUCCCUAGCUGGUCUGAGAGGAUGACCAGCCACACUGGAACUGAGACACGGUCCAGACUCCUACGGGAGGCAGCAGUGGGGAAUAUUGCACAAUGGGCGCAAGCCUGAUGCAGCCAGGCCGCGUGUAUGAAGAAGGCCUUCGGGUUGUAAAGUACUUUCAGCGGGGAGGAAGGGAGUAAAGUUAAUACCUUGACUCAUUGACGGUACCCGCAGAAGAAGCACCGGCUAACUCCGUG
rnacentral:rRNA from 1 species